rnacentral:rRNA from 1 species
AGCAGUCGCCACGGUAAAACCGAGGAUGCAAGCGUUAUCCGGAAUGAUUGGGCGUAAAGGGAGCGUAGGCGGGUCGUUUAGUCAGAGGUGAAAUCCCGGGGCUCAACCUCGGAACUGCCUUUGAUACUGGCGACCUUGAGUAUGGGAGAGGUGAGUGGAACUCCGAGUGUAGAGGUGAAAUUCGUAGAUAUUCGGAAGAACACCAGUGGCGAAAGCGACUCACUGGCCCAUUACUGACGCUGAGGCUCGAAAGCGUGGGGAGCAAACAGGAUUAGAUACCCGGGUAGUCCCUGUCUCUUAUAA